CGCGUAGGCGGGUCAGCAAGUCAGGGGUGAAAUCCCACGGCUCAACCGUGGAAGUGCCUUUGAUACUGCUGGUCUUGAGGGAGGUAGGGGCGUGCGGAACUUCCGGUGGAGCGGUGAAAUGCGUAGAUAUCGGAAGGAACACCGGUGGCGAAAGCGGCGCGCUGGAUCUCUACUGACGCUGAGGCGCGAAAGCCAGGGAGCAAACG
rnacentral:rRNA from 1 species